GUGGGGAAUAUUGGACAAUGGGCGAAAGCCUGAUCCAGCCAUGCCGCGUGUGUGAAGAAGGUCUUCGGAUUGUAAAGCACUUUAAGUUGGGAGGAAGGGCAGUAAGUUAAUACCUUGCUGUUUUGACGUUACCGACAGAAUAAGCACCGGCUAACUUCGUGCCAGCAGCCGCGGUAAUACGAAGGGUGCAAGCGUUAAUCGGAAUUACUGGGCGUAAAGCGCGCGUAGGUGGUUUUGUAAGUUGGAGGUGAAAUCCCCGGGCUCAACCUGGGAACUGCCUCCAAAACUGCAUGACUAGAGUACGGUAGAGGGUAGUGGAAUUUCCUGUGUAGCGGUGAAAUGUGUAGAUAUAGGAAGGAACACCAGUGGCGAAGGCGACUACCUGGACUGAUACUGACACUGAGGUGCGAAAGCGUGGGGAGCAAACAGGAUUAGAUACCCCAGUAGUCC
rnacentral:rRNA from 1 species